CCUACGGGAGGCAGCAGUCGAGAAUCAUUCACAAUGGGGGAAACCCUGAUGGUGCGACGCCGCGUGGGUGAAUGAAGGUCUUCGGAUUGUAAACCCCUGUCAUGUGGGAGCAAAUUAAAAAGAUAGUACCACAAGAGGAAGAGACGUCUAACUCUGUGCCAGCAGCCGCGGUAAUACAGAGGUCUCAAGCGUUGUUCGGAAUCACUGGGCGUAAAGCGUGCGUAGGCUGUUUCGUAAGUCGUGUGUGAACGGCGGGGGCUCAACCCGCGGACGGCACAUGAUACUGCGAGACUAGAGUAAUGGAGGGGGAACCGGAAUUCUAGGUGUAGCAGUGAAAUGCGUAGAUAUCGAGAGGAACACUCGUGGCGAAGGUGGGUUCCUGGACAUUAACUGACGCUGAGGCACGAAGGCCAGGGGAGCGAAAGGGAUUAGAUACCCCAGUAGUC
rnacentral:rRNA from 1 species